rnacentral:lncRNA from 1 species
CGCUAUCGCCGAUGAUGAAACUUCAACUAUGAAAUUAGAUCUACUCUUGCGUCCCACUAAAUAACAAGCUAUUUUUUAUUGAUUCUUUAUUUGAUGGAACUUCACAGUACUACUUCCCUACUGAAAUAUUGUUAGAAGAAACACUAAGGAGGCAUCAAUAAACAACAAAAUAAUCAAUCGAGAACCUCAUUCUGCUUCGAUCUGUUGUACAGAAAACACAAACAGAAUGGAAAUCAUAAUGAAAAAAAUAAAAUCAUCCAUGCUUCUUAGGAACUCAAUCUAAUCCUCCAUAAUAGAGUAAAAUCUAUCAUGCUCCCCAUGAAAUUUAUCUACAACUCCGCAACAUAAUUAAAUCUGGAAGCUCCUUGUUUGAUGCAGGUUCGAGAAGUUGUUGAUGCCGCCAUCAAACUGAAUCUCCUCGUUUGAUGAGGUUGUCAAAUUGUGGCCAAUAAGAGCACGAUCAACCACUCUUCAUUCCGCAAAGCUUCAUAUUUUUGUUCAAAAAAAAAAAAAGAAAGAAGGUUUGAAGUGAAGAAGAUGAACGAAGGGAAGAAGAAGAUCCAUCAGCAUGGGAGAAAAUAGAGAGCAAGAUUUUUGGGUUGUGUGUUGGAGAGAGUGAUAGAAAUAAACUAAUGGGAAGAUAUAGGAAAACAUGAUCUGAAAUAGAAUUGAGGGAAAAGAGGGAAAGAAAGAGAGCAACUUGGCAGUGAAUUUAAU